rnacentral:rRNA from 1 species
CCUACGGGAGGCAGCAGUGGGGAAUAUUGGACAAUGGGGGGAACCCUGAUCCAGCCAUGCCGCGUGUGUGAAGAAGGCCUUUUGGUUGUAAAGCACUUUAAGCGAGGAGGAGGCUACCUAGAUUAAUACUUUAGGAUAGUGGACGUUACUCGCAGAAUAAGCACCGGCUAACUCUGUGCCAGCAGCCGCGGUAAUACAGAGGGUGCGAGCGUUAAUCGGAUUUACUGGGCGUAAAGCGUGCGUAGGCGGCCAAUUAAGUCAAAUGUGAAAUCCCCGAGCUUAACUUGGGAAUUGCAUUCGAUACUGGUUGGCUAGAGUAUGGGAGAGGAUGGUAGAAUUCCAGGUGUAGCGGUGAAAUGCGUAGAGAUCUGGAGGAAUACCGAUGGCGAAGGCAGCCAUCUGGCCUAAUACUGACACUGAGGUACGAAAGCAUGGGGAGCAAACAGGAUUAGAUACCCUGGUAGUCCAUGCCGUAAACGAUGUCUACUAGCCGUUGGGGUCUUUGAGACUUUAGUGGCGCAGCUAACGCGAUAAGUAGACCGCCUGGGGAGUACGGUCGCAAGACUAAAACUCAAAUGAAUUGACGGGG